UACUUUUAUGUUAAAUCGAAAAGAGAUAUAGAUGCAAGGAGAGUAAAAGGUCGGUGAAAUGAGAAAGGCCCACAAGUAGCCACAAAAAGGGUGACUCUAUGAUAGAUAAUGGAACCCAAUGCAAAAGUUCACUCCUUUCGUCCCUCAUUUUAUCACAAUUUCUUACACUAAAGUACGUUUUCGUUCGACCAAAAAGUUUACGUUUUUCUUUCUUUAAUUUCUAUCAGCCAACAAAGUUCUUGUCUUUAUAAUAUUCGCUCUCUCUUUUAAAAUAUUUCUUUUACUCAAAC
rnacentral:lncRNA from 1 species